rnacentral:rRNA from 1 species
CCUACGGGUGGCAGCAGUGAGGAAUAUUUGUCAAUGGACGCGAGUCUGAACCAGCCAAGUAGCGUGAAGGAUGACUGCCCUACGGGUUGUAAACUUCUUUUAUAUGGGAAUAAAUCAAGGUACGUGUACCUUCUUGUAUGUACCAUAUGAAUAAGGAUCGGCUAACUCCGUGCCAGCAGCCGCGGUAAUACGGAGGAUCCGAGCGUUAUCCGGAUUUAUUGGGUGUAAAGGGAGCGUAGGUGGUUUGUUAAGUCAGUUGUGAAAGUUUGCGGCUCAACCGUAAAAUUGCAAUUGAUACUGGCAGCCUUGAGUACAGUAGAGGUAGGCGGAAUUCGUGGUGUAGCGGUGAAAUGCUUAGAUAUCACGAAGAACACCGAUUGCGAAGGCAGCUUACUAAACUGCAACUGACAUUGAGGCUCGAAAGUGUGGGGAUCAAACAGGAUUAGAUACCCUUGUAGUC